GCCCACCAGGAAACGACCCCUGCCCACACCCUUCACUCUGUGCAGGGGACUCGAAGGUGGAAGAAAC
rnacentral:snoRNA from 1 species